GAGGGUGCAAGCGUUAUCCGGAUUUAUUGGGUUUAAAGGGUCCGUAGGCGGAUGCGUAAGUCAGUGGUGAAAUCUCACAGCUCAACUGUGAAACUGCCAUUGAUACUGCGUGUCUUGAGUGAGGUUGAAGUAGCUGGAAUAAGUAGUGUAGCGGUGAAAUGCAUAGAUAUUACUUAGAACACCAAUUGCGAAGGCAGGUUACUAAGUCUCAACUGACGCUGAUGGACGAAAGCGUGGGGAGCGAACAGGAUUAGAUACCCUGGUAGUCCACGCUGUAAACGAUGCUUACUCGUUUUUGGGGAUUUAUCUUCAGAGACUAAGCGAAAGUGAUAAGUAAGCCACCUGGGGAGUACGAACGCAAGUUUGAAACUCAAAGGAAUUGACGGGGGCCCGCACAAGCGGUGGAUUAUGUGGUUUAAUUCGAUGAUACGCGAGGAACCUUACCAAGGCUUAAAUGGGAAUUGAUCGGUUUAGAAAUAGACCUUCCUUCGGGCAAUUUUCAAGGUGCUGCAUGGUUGUCGUCAGCUCGUGCCGUGAGGUGUUAGGUUAAGUCCUGCAACGAGCGCAACCCCUGUCACUAGUUGCCAUCAUUAAGUUGGGGACUCUAGUGAGACUGCCUACGCAAGUAGAGAGGAAGGUGGGGAUGACGUCAAAUCAUCACGGCCCUUACGCCUUGGGCCACACACGUAAUACAAUGGCCGGUACAGAGGGCAGCUACACAGCGAUGUGAUGCAAAUCUCGAAAGCCGGUCUCAGUUCGGAUUGGAGUCUGCAACUCGACUCUAUGAAGCUGGAAUCGCUAGUAAUCGCGCAUCAGCCAUGGCGCGGUGAAUACGUUCCCGGGCCUUGUACACACCGCCCGUCAAGCCAUGGAAGUCUGGGGUACCUGAAGU
rnacentral:rRNA from 1 species